GACGAACGCUGGCGGCGUGCUUAACACAUGCAAGUCGAACGGAAAGGCCCUGCUUUUGUGGGGUGCUCGAGUGGCGAACGGGUGAGUAACACGUGAGUAACCUGCCCUUGACUUUGGGAUAACUUCAGGAAACUGGGGCUAAUACCGGAUAGGAGCUCCUGCUGCAUGGGGGGGGUUGGAAAGUUUCGGCGGUUGGGGCUGGACUCGCGGCUUAUCAGCUUGUUGGUGGGGUAGUGGCUUACCAAGGCUUUGACGGGUAGCCGGCCUGAGAGGGUGACCGGCCACAUUGGGACUGAGUUACGGCCCAGACUCCUACGGGAGGCAGCAGUGGGGAAUAUUGCACAAUGGGCGGAAGCCUGAUGCAGCAACGCCGCGUGCGGGAUGACGGCCUUCGGGUUGUAAACCGCUUUCGCCUGUGACGAAGCGUGAGUGACGGUAAUGGGUAAAGAAGCACCGGCUAACUACGUG
rnacentral:rRNA from 1 species